rnacentral:tRNA from 1 species
UGCAGGUUAAUUCAGUGGUCAGAAGGCCAGCCUCAUAAGCUGGAAGUCGGCAGUUCGAAUCUGCCACCUGCAACCA